CCCAAACUAAGACGCCUACAGCCAAAUACCACUUCUCUAACCACACAUACCUUUGCUCCACCAAAAUACCACCCUUCUCACGACAAUAAGACAGUUUCCCCACAAUACCCUCUUCUUCUCAAAUACGACACUGUCCCCACCACAAUACCUCUUUUUCCUCAAAGAUAACACUUUCUGAAAGGAUGACUCUUGAAAAAUCCUACUUUCCCCCAAAGUGGAUUUUCUCCCCAGAUCCUACUUUUCGCCCCCAGUUAAGCAUCAUCUCCCACAAAAUACCACCUUUCAAACGAAAAAGAAGACCUCAGGAGCACGCUUCACAAGCUCAAGACUGCAGCACGGCAAGCUGGCAAGAGAGGAUUCUGAACUGCCAUCCUUUACACUUCCAGCCACAGCGGGCUCUGUCACGUACAGCUGCGUAGUAACCGACGGGCAGUGGCAGGGCCCUUUCUUGCCGCUCCUCUGAUACUUACGACCAAAUCUAGAAAGAAUCGAAGCAGUUGUUCUCUGUAGAAACUACGCCUAACCUUGUUCCUUCUACCUGCAGACAAGCCCAACACAUGCCUGCCAGUCCAAUGGUGGGUAGAAGUGUUUGUUUGUUGUUUGGUUGCCGUUUGUUUUUGGUUUUUCUGUGUGUGUGGGGGGGGGGAGGGGGGUAAUGUCUGUUUCCGAAAGAAGUGUAGUUUUGGAGAGAAAUGUUUGUUUUCGUUUGAAAGGUGGUAUUUUGUGGGAGAUGAUGCUUAACUGUGGGGCGAAAAGUAGGAUUGGGGGAGAAAAUCCACUUCUGGGUCGGAAAGAAUAGGACAUUUCUCCCCAAGUACCCUUGUCUCACCGAACAAGACUCUUUCUCCACUAAAUACCACUGCUCUCCACAAAACAUGACUUCUCGCCUGCCAAAUACAAAGCUGUUUGCUUUCCAAAAAGACGACGUUUCCUUCGCGCGCUCCCUUUUUUCUCCACAACAUGCAAAUUCUCUCUCCAAAACAGGACAGUUUCUGCCCCUAAUGCUACUUUUCUCCCGAACAUAGGGCCUUUCCUUCGCGCAUCAUGCCACAUUUCUCCUGAAAUUACAGCUCUUCCUUGCAAAAUACCACUUUUCUCCCAAAGACAUGACCAUUUUUCUUCCCACACCAUACCACUCUUCUCCAAAACUACGAUCUCUCCUCUCAAAAACGCCACUUUUCUCCCAAAAAUACGACCGUUUCUUCCCCUCGGACCUCUUUUCUCCUCCAUAGAUGAGACUUUCUCGACCCAAAUCUCACUUUCGUCAAGAAAAGAAGGCAUUUUCCCGACCACAAAACCACUCUUCACCCCCAAAUCAGACUUUUCUCCCCAAAACACCACUGUGCUCCCUAAAAGAAGACACUCUCUCCCCCCACAUACCACUGCCACCUUUCAAACGAAAACAAAACGUUUUCUCUCCAAAAUACUACACUUCUUUCGGAAACACGACAUUUUCUCCCCCCCCCACCCAGAAAAAAAAAAACAAAACCAAAAAACGGCAACCAAAACAACAAACCAAACACUUCUACCCACCAUUGGACUGGCAGGCAUGUGUUGGGCUUGUCUGCUGGUAGAAGGAACAAGGUUAGGCAUAGUUUCUACAGAGACAACUGCUUUCGAUUUCUUUCUAGAUUUGGUCGUAAGUAUCAGAGGAGCGGCAAGAAAGGGCCCUGCCACUGCCCGUCUGUUACUACGCAGCUGUACGUGACAGAGCCCGCUGUGGCUGGAAGUGUAAAGGAUGGCAGUUCAGAAUCCUCUCUUGCCAGCUUGCCGUGCUGCAGUCUUGAGCUUGUGAAGCGUGCUCCUGAGGUCUUCUUUUUCGUUUGAAAGGUGGUAUUUUGUGGGAGAUGAUGCUUAACUGCGGGGCGAAAAGUAGGAUCUGGGGGAGAAAAUCCACUUGUGGGGGAGAAAGUAGGUAUUUUGCGGGAGAAGAGGUCAUCCUUUGCGGAGAAAGUGUUAUCUUUUGAGGGAGAAAAGAGGUAUUGCGGUGGGGACAGUGUCGUAUUUGGAGNNNNNNNNNNNNNNNNNNNNNNNNNNNNNNNNNNNNNNNNNNNNNNNNNNNNNNNNNNNNNNNNNNNNNNNNNNNNNNNNNNNNNNNNNNNNNNNNNNNNGGAAGAGCUGUAUAUUUUCAGGAGAAAUGUGGCAUGAUGCGCGAAGGAAAGGCCCUAUGUUCGGGAGAAAAGUAGCGUUAGGGGCAGAAACUGUCCUGUUUUGGAGAGAGACUUUGCAUGUUGUGGAGAAAAAAGGGAGCGCGCGAAGGAAACGUCGUCUUUUUGGAAAGCAAACAGCUUUGUAUUUGGCAGGCGAGAAGUCAUGUUUUGUGGAGAGCAGUGGUAUUUAGUGGAGAAAGAGUCUUGUUUCGGUGAGACAAGGGGUACUUGGGGGAGAAAAUGUCCUAUUCUUUCCGACCCAGAAGUGGAUUUCUCCCCCAGAUCCUACUUUUCGCCCCACAGUUAAGCAUCAUCUCCCACAAAAUACCACCUUUCAAACGAAAACAAAACAUUUUCUCUCCAAAAUACUACACUUCUUUCGGAAACACAACAUUUUCUCCCCCCCCCCACAAAAAAAACAAAAACAAAAAACGGCAACCAAAACAACAAACCAAACACUUUAACCAUUGGACUGGCAGGCCUUGUUUGGCUUGUCUAGCA
rnacentral:lncRNA from 7 species